rnacentral:tmRNA from 1 species
GGGGGCGUAAAGGUUUCGACGGGGAUUCUGAAGUAUGAUAAGCGAGCGGAGCACGGCGUGAUCUCCAUAACCGACGCCACGUUUAAAUAUAAACGCAAGAAAUAACAUUACAGUUUCUAGAAAUAGCGAACUGGUAGCUGCUUAAGUCAGCUUCUGUCCAACGGAUGAGUACCACGGCUUCCGCUUGGGCAUUGAUCAGUGGUGAACGAAUCUGAGGAGUGUCCGUGCCUCAGGUUUGUAUACGGACUACUCUGGCUUUCAGCCCGUUUACCGGCGGUCAGUCAGGGGAAUUUUAAUAGGUAAAAUACGCUCGUAGAAAGUUGUAUGGAUGGGUUUUCGGACGCGAGUUCAAUUCUCGCCGCCUCCACCA